rnacentral:rRNA from 1 species
UGGGGAAUAUUGCACAAUGGGCGAAAGCCUGAUGCAGCAACGCCGCGUGAAGGAUGAAGGGUUUCGGCUCGUAAACUUCUAUCAAUAGGGAAGAAAGAAAUGACGGUACCUAAAUAAGAAGCCCCGGCUAACUACGUGCCAGCAGCCGCGGUAAUACGUAGGGGGCAAGCGUUAUCCGGAAUUACUGGGUGUAAAGGGAGCGUAGGCGGCAUGGUAAGCCAGAUGUGAAAGCCUUGGGCUUAACCCGAGGAUUGCAUUUGGAACUAUCAAGCUAGAGUACAGGAGAGGAAAGCGGAAUUCCUAGUGUAGCGGUGAAAUGCGUAGAUAUUAGGAAGAACACCAGUGGCGAAGGCGGCUUUCUGGACUGAAACUGACGCUGAGGCUCGAAAGCGUGGGGAGCAAACAGG